AGUAACGCGUGGGCAACCUGCCUCAUACAGGGGGAUAGCAUCGGGAAACUGGUGGUAAAACCGCAUAAGCGCACGGAAACGCAUGUUUUUGUGUGAAAAGGAGAAAUCUGGUAUGAGAUGGACCCGCGUCUGAUUAGCUAGUUGGAGUGGUAAAAGCACACCAAGGCAACGAUCAGUAGCCGGCCUGAGAGGGUGGACGGCCACAUUGGGACUGAGACACGGCCCAGACUCCUACGGAAGGCAGCAG
rnacentral:rRNA from 1 species